rnacentral:rRNA from 1 species
GAUGAACGCUGGCGGCGUGCUUAACACAUGCAAGUCGAACGAGAAGUGAAGACGGAAACCUUCGGGCGGAAGGCUUUAUUUCGAGUGGCGGACGGGUGAGUAACGCGUGGGUAACCUGCCUCAUACAGGGGGAUAACAGUUGGAAACGACUGUUAAUACCGCAUAAGACCACAGCACCGCAUGGUGCGGGGGUAAAAACUCCGGUGGUAUGAGAUGGACCCGCGUUCGAUUAGCCAGUUGGCGGGGUAACGGCCCACCAAAGCGACGAUCGAUAGCCGAUCUGAGAGGAUGACCGGCCACAUUGGGACUGAGACACGGCCCAAACUCCUACGGGAGGCAGCAGUGGGGAAUAUUGCACAAUGCGGGAAACCCUGAUGCAGCGACGCCGCGUGAGUGAAGAAGUAUUUCGGUAUGUAAAGCUCUAUCAGCAGGGAAGAAAAUGACGGUACCUGAGUAAGAAGCCCCGGCUAACUACGUG